rnacentral:sRNA from 1 species
CAGAUGCCUUAUGGGGACAUCCUUCUCCACACAGGCGAUUUCACCGAGCUGGGACUGCCCUCAGAGGUUAAGAAGUUUAAUGACUGGUUAGGAAACCUGCCAUAUGAAUAUAAAAUAGUGAUUGCUGGGAAUCAUGAACUGACAUUUGAUAAGGAAUUCAUGGCAGACCUUGUUAAACAGGACUACUACCGUUUCCCCUCUGUGUCCAAAUUGAAACCAGAGGACUUUGACAAUGUUCAGUCCCUCCUGACAAACAGUAUUUACUUACAAGAUUCGGAGGUAACAGUGAAGGGAUUCAGGAUAUACGGUGCACCUUGUGACCACAAGUGAAGUUGAGGUGGCUUUGGGCAGCAUUAAGUGAACAAAAAGGGCAAAAUGAGAAGAGGCAGGAAAUGGGAAUCGUUUUACGGCUCCCUCCUACUUCCCACAUUCCUUUGAGGCCGAAUUAAUUGGUGUGAUUCCAUUCUCAAUUUAAGAAAUCAAGGUUAAAUGACUUGCCCACAAUUGUAUUGAGCUGGAACUAGGGCAUAGGUCUGCUGUCUCCAGAUCUCCAGCUGACUUCCCACCGCAGCCUGUCAGUCAGUGAAAUUAAUCUGCAGUCAUUCGCAGACACCUGAAAAUGUCCCCUCCCACCCCUCAAAUUGCAUAAUAAUGAGUCCUACAGCAGAAAACAGUUGUAUUCUUUCAAAAGUUUCUCUAAUGUUUUUGAAAUACACAAGGAAAUAGUACAAGUUAAGUGGACAUUUG